AUUCCAGCUCCAAUAGCGUAUAUUAAAGUUGUUGCAGUUAAAAAGCUCGUAGUUGAAUUUCUGUACAGUCCCGGUUCUGGCUUCGGUCAAGCCGUGGAUUGUGCAUCCGCUUGCAAAUCUAGCUCGGCCUUCACUGGUCGACUAGGGGAGUAAGCCCUUUACUUUGAAAAAAUUAGAGUGUUUCAGGCAGGCAAUGGCUCGAAUACAUUAGCAUGGAAUAAUGGAAUAGGACUUUUGUCCAUUUGGUUGGUUAUUGGACAUGAGUAAUGAUUAAAAGGGACAGUUGGGGGCAUUAGUAUUUAAUAGUCAGAGGUGAAAUUCUUGGAUUUAUUAAAGACUAACUUAUGCGAAAGCAUUUGCCAAGGAUGUUUUCAUUG
rnacentral:rRNA from 1 species